rnacentral:rRNA from 1 species
AUUGAACGCUGGCGGCAGGCUUAACACAUGCAAGUCGCGCGAGCGGCGGACGGGUGAGUAAUGUCUGGGAAACUGCCUGAUGGAGGGGGAUACCUACUGGAAACGGUAUCUAAUACCGCAUCCCCUCAGACGUGCCCAGAUGGGAUUAGCUAGUAGGUGGGGUAAUGGCUCACCUGGGCGACGAUCCCUCGCUGGUCUGAGAGGAUGACCAGCAAAACGGGAACUGGGACACGGUCCAGAGUCCUACGGUAGGCAGCAGUGGGGAAACUUGCACACUGGGCUAAAGCCUGAUGCAUCAAUGCCGGGUGUGGGAAGAAGGCCUUCUGGUUGUAAAGCACGUUCAGCGGGGAGGCGUUACUCGCAGAAGAAGCACCGGCUAACUCCGUGCCAGCAGCCGCGGUAAUUC